UACGUAGGGUGCGAGCGUUAAUCGGAAUUACUGGGCGUAAAGAGUGCGUAGGCGGUUUCUCAAGUCCGCUGUGAAAUCCCCGGGCUCAACCUGGGAAUGGCAGUGGAAACUAGGAGACUUGAAUCUGGCAGAGGGGGGUGGAAUUCCACGUGUAGCAGUGAAAUGCGUAGAUAUCUGGAGGAACACCGGUGGCGAAGGCGGCAUCCUGGACCGACACUGACGCUGAGGAGCGAAAGCCAGGGGAGCAAACGGG
rnacentral:rRNA from 1 species